UACGUAGGUGGCAAGCGUUGUCCGGAUUUACUGGGCGUAAAGGGCGUGCAGGCGGUCUGUUAAGUGCAGGGUGAAAGCUCCCGGCUCAACUGGGAGAGGUCCUUGCAUACUGGCGGACUUGAGGGGGGUAGAGGAAAGUGGAAUUCCCAGUGUAGCGGUGAAAUGCGUAGAUACUGGGAGGAACACCAGUGGCGAAGGCGGCUACCUGGACCGGUUCUGACGCUGAGGCGCGAAAGCGUGGGUAGCAAACAGG
rnacentral:rRNA from 1 species